UUUUUUUAAGACAAGUGGAGCAAGUAUUUAAAAACAAAGAGAGUAUUAUUUUUUUAAAGUGAAGUAAACAUGGCCUAAAACAGAUUUUUGUAGGGGAGUGAUAUUGGACCCAAAAUUUAACCAACCAAGGUGGCUGACAGUCUGCAUCAACAAGCAUGAUGCAAUGAAAAGGAGGAGAGCACAAUGUUGAAUUUGCAAGGGUAUGAUAGUAUGAGUGUAUGACAAAUGUAGCAAUUUAGUCCAUAUCGUCCACCCCAUUUUGUCAAAGUGUUCAGACUAGUCUUUUUUAUAUGGUUGAUUACUUGAUUUAAUGUCAAAAAUACUCCCAAUUUAUCAGAAUUAUGUAACUAAUCAAUCAAAUACUCGGGAUAGUAAUGUCGUAAUCUGAGGGGUUCGUUUCAUAAAAUGUGUCCAUAUGGAGAACAAAGUUCUUUUGAUAACACAAAUUGCAUAAAGGGCAUAUUUGUCCAUUCAGAUCAAAGUAGGAGCGUUAGUAUGUAAAAUGGGAGCGACAAAUAGCAGUUCCUUUAUGAUAAAUAAAGAUGGUUUUAUACUCCACAUAACUAAACUUGUUAAGAUUUGAACCACAAAAUUUUUGGGGUACGGAAAUGUGAGGAUUGUUACCAUUUAAAAAAAACUAAACUUCAAGCACAACCACCGCCCAUCUUCUUCUUCCCCACAACCAACCCAAAACUCAAAACCCCAAUGAUUGUAAUACCAAAGAAACCCAAACCUUCAUAAUUUUUCUCGAUCUCCUCAUUUAGAAAUGAUGAUGUUAUUGAUUUGAUUUUGGUCAUGGAAAAAAAAAAAACUUGCAAGACUUGGGUGUUUAGUUAUAUGUGUUUUACAUUUAUUUGUUCAGUUCCAUCUCAAGUACUAGAACUUGACGAUCAAUUUGUAAGUUAAGUAGAACAAAUAAGAAGAAUUUCAACCAUCCUUAAGCCUUUGUUGUAAUGGCAGAAGCAAUUCUCAUGGCAGUCACAAAGUCUGUUAUUGAAAAGCUUGCUUCCUUCACAGCUGAUCUUGCAUUGACCUCAGCUACAGAAGAGAUCAGAAGAUCUCAAGACGAUGGCGAGUAAACUUUCUGCCAUUUGAAGAUGCAGAACGGAGGCAGUACACGCUAAUGAGUCCAUUAAAAUUUGGCUAAGGGAUCUAAAGGAUGUUGUUUAUGACAUUAAUCAUCUUAUCGAUGAAGUUUCGACUUAUGCUUUGCAGCGUACUGCCAAUGAAGGUAAUUUGCUAAUUCAGCUGAGGUACUAUUUUUCCACUAAUCCUGUUAUUUUUCGUUUUGAGUUGAGCAACAAAGUAAAAGGACUCCGUAAAAAAUUGGAUGAUAUAGUGGCUAAGAAAAAUGAUUUCGGAUUGACUGAGCAUCCAGUUGAAAUCACACCUGUAGAGCGGAACCCUUUAGAAUGUGAAUAUGUCAGACAUUAUUGGAAGAGAUGAGGCUGGACAGGAUGUUGUAAAUAUAUUGUCAGCUAUUGGUGGUGCUCGUAAUCAUCCGUCCGUGCUUCCUAUAGUAGGGGAGGGCCUGAAUGGUCUUAAAAACCUUCAAAUAUUAGAGAUAGUAGGGGUUCCAAAAUUGGUUUCUUUGCCGGAUGGUCUCCAAUCUGCUGCGACCUCUCUUCUAAGUCUCUCAAUCGGAUGCUGCAUAAGUAGUACUCAGCUUCCUAAUUGGCUGCAGGAUUUCAUACAUCUUCGAAGACUUCACAUUUACGAUUGCCCAAAUUUGCUGGCUUUGCCCAAGGGAUUUCGACAUCUCCAUUCUUUAGAGACUUUGAGGAUCCGAAAUUGCUCCCAUCUGACAACUAGAUGCGCUAAACCUUAUGGAGAAGACUUCUCUAACAUACAGCAUAUCCGCGAAUUUUUUCUUGACCAUCAACUAGUCACAUGACUCCAAACUCUAUCUAGCAGAUCAGCCUUGGCAGAACUUGAGCUGGAGCUGGAUACUGAAAUAAGAGUUGAGCUAGUCAUAGCUAGUUGCUUGGCCGUGGUAUGGUAAAUUGCUGAGUCUCAUACCAUAAGUAGUUGCUUGGUUGUAAUUUCUUUUUGCAAGCUCUGUUGUAUUUAACGCGAAGUAUAGCCAAAAGGCCCUAAACUAACAGAGAUAAAAUUAUGUGGGGUGGUUUGAGAUUGUCCAAUAUGCAGUACCUACUCUUUGCUGAACUAAAAUCAGACAAUUUUGUACUAACUCAGCUCCUUGGCUUGCUAUUGUGAAGUGAAAUCUAGUCUUUCUUGCUUGUGCCAUUGAUGCAUCUUUUGGAUGCAUUUAAAGAUUCAUUUGUUUCUGUCCGAUAACUUUUUGUACAUAGGCCUGAUAACUUUUUGUAAGUAUUACAUCUCAGCUGUUGAGAUAUCAUAUUUGACAGAAUGAAAGAGCAUAGUUAGCUGCCAGAAUUUGUCUUGGACUCUUGGGUGCUUGGAGGUGAUUGUGUGUUACUCUAUAUUUUGUUCCUAGCACUUCGGUCCGUAGCACAAGAAUUGUUUUGAGUACUUCUUGAGCAGUAGGAACUUUGGUACUGGGGCCAUGGAUCGGUGAUUCCAGUGGCAGUGACAUGCAUCUGCUAUCCCUAUGUCAGAUUGCUAGGUAAAGUAGCAUUCCCAACUCCCAAGCCCCCAAUGCCCAGGCCAGAUCAAAGGCGAGCCCUGAGGUCGCUGUAGCUUAGGUCAAGCAGCUUAUUCACAGUGCUUCCAAUUUCAGAGAUGCACGUGAUCAUAUAGGCCUAUGUUAUGCACUUUGGGUUAGUUUUGAACUGAUACAUGAGGUUUCUUAUGAGAAAUUCAGUAUAGUGGGCUACUAAGUUUACUCUGAUGUUCUCAAGGCACGGUGCUGCUCUUACUUUCGACGAGAAUGUUUCUCUAAUAUAGUUUUAUGGAUCAUUCUGCAUGUAUUAGGAAAACAUGGAACAUAAUGUGGCUUGUGUUUCAUGAAUUUUUUUUAAUGAACAUGUAUUUCUGUGUGAUCAAUGUGUCUAACUUUGUAUCUGAUUGAGGCAACCUGCAAUAUUUUCAGAACAUUUUUGCAGGAAGCAUCAGUCUUUCCACCUCAUUUGUAUUUCAUACAAAGAAAAUGAGGUUUAUUUUGUAUAUAUAUUCAUAUUAGAAA